AAUAAUGAAGCAACUUAUUGCGUUUAGUUUCGACCUAAAAAUUUGAUUUUAUUAAUCUUUUAUUU
rnacentral:tRNA from 1 species